rnacentral:rRNA from 1 species
AUACGGAGGGGGCUAGCGUUGUUCGGAAUUACUGGGCGUAAAGCGCGCGUAGGCGGUUUUCCAAGUUGGGGGUGAAAUCCCGAGGCUCAACCUCGGAACUGCCCUCAAAACUGGAUGACUAGAGUCCGGGAGCGGUUGGCGGAAUUCCUAGUGUAGAGGUGAAAUUCGUAGAUAUUAGGAAGAACACCAGUGGCGAAGGCGGCCAACUGGACCGGUACUGACGCUAAGGUGCGAAAGCGUGGGGAGCAAACAGGAUUAGAAACCCCGGUAGUCC